AGCGAACGCUGGCGGCAGGCCUAACACAUGCAAGUCGAACGAACCAUUCGGGGUUAGUUGCGGACGGGUGAGUAACACGUGGGAACGUGCCCUUAGGUUCGGUAUAACUCAGGGAAACUUGAGUUAAUACCGAAUGAGCCCUUCGGGGGAAAGAUUAAUCGCCUUUAGAGCGGUCCGCGGCUGAUUAGCUAGUUGGUUGAGGUAAUGGCUCACCAAGGCGACGGCCAGUAGCUGGUCUGAGAGGAUGAUCAGCCACAUUAGGACAGCGACACGGCCCGAACUCGUACAGGAGGCAGGAGAGGUGAAUGUUGCACAAUGGGCGAAAGCCUGACGCUGCCCGGCCGCGUAAAUAAUGUAGGUCGUAGGAUUGUAAAAUUCUUUCACCGGGGAAGAUAAUGACGGUACCCGGAGAGGAAGCCCCGGCUAACUACGUG
rnacentral:rRNA from 1 species